UACAUUGGGGUGACCUGUGGAUAUGUCC
rnacentral:piRNA from 1 species